rfam:Subdoligranulum variabile DSM 15176 genomic scaffold Scfld0, whole genome shotgun sequence.
GCUGCUAUAGCUCAGUUGGUAGAGCGCAUCCUUGGUAAGGAUGAGGUCAGCAGUUCAAAUCUGCUUAGCAGCU